rnacentral:rRNA from 1 species
UACGUAGGGGGCAAGCGUUGUCCGGAUUUAUUGGGCGUAAAGAGCGUGUAGGCGGCCAUACAGGUCAGCUGUGAAAACUCGAGGCUCAACCUCGAGACGUCGGUUGAAACCGUAUGGCUAGAGUCCGGAAGAGGAGAGUGGAAUUCCCGGUGUAGCGGUGAAAUGCGCAGAUAUCGGGAAGAACACCCGUGGCGAAGGCGGCUCUCUGGCUCAUUUCUGACGCUCAGGCGCGACAGCGUGGGGAUCGAAACAAGG